AAAAGUUGUUGGACGGAAUCUAUUUACUGUGAAUAAUGACCUCUUGCAUCCGGAUAUACUGUCCUAGCGGAGUCUCAUCAUGCCUCAUUGCUUCUAUGUCUUUUUUGUGUGGAGUGACUGUGUGGGUCAAUGAGAAUUUCACCCAUGAGGAAUGAUGUGAUGGGGCAGAUCUGACUGCUAGGUGAACUGAUCUAUUGUGGGAAUUAAAGAACAAGAAAAACCUCCCUGACGGUCAGGAACUCCUCCUUUUGCUAGUUUUGUUUUGCAUUUAACCAUUACUCUUUGUGUGCCUAUGCACCAAUCAGCUAAUAUUCAAAGCUGAAACUGCCCAAGUGCCCUAAAUUAACUAAAAUUGUCCUAAUUAGCGACUGAAAUAACUCUCUUAAAAACUUUUCAUAAAUUUGUUUGAACCUUAAAUGGCUUUGAUUUUAUACCAGAAAACCCGGCUCAUCAUUUUUUUUUUUUUUUUUAUGACGGAGAAAGAAGGCUUUUAUGGAAUGUAAUUAUGUGUGAGCAUGGAAGUGUAUGUAUAGAGAAGAAAGCUGAACUGUAAAGACAUUAGUUUUUGGUUUCUCACCUUCACACAUUUAAUUUUUUUAUCGGUAAAGAGCAGUGAAACACCUGUGUAUUCGUUUUACUUAACUUCUAUUAGGUUUUUAAAAAAUGCCUCAAAUUUGUUCCUAAAGUGAAAGCUACAUUUUGAAAUCAUUUUGGUACCAUUUUAGGCAGGUCUUGCGAAUAACGUACUCCAUUAGAAUGGGCAUGUAGACUUUUAGACUUGGAGUUGACUGUGAAGGCCAUCUACUUCAUUAACUUAACGAGGGAGGAGAUAGAGUCUGAGAGGUGAAGUGAUUCACCUUAAUUGCGUGGUGGGCUCAUAGCACAGCUAGGCCUGGAGGCCAGACCUUCUGUUUGGCUCACUCGCUGGUCCCACAACAUAUAUCCCUUCCUUUUAGGGUCACGUGGGAAAUAGGAACAAAGUUUAGAUACAUUCCACAAACAGUCCAAAGGAUAACUGUGACUGUUAAUUUCAUCCUUCUUGUCAGAUAACCCUUUUAACAAGUCUCCCAAGGAACAAGUAACGGAACUAAAGAGUUUACCAGAAGCCUGAGCUGCAGGGGGAGAUGCUGCAUAUUGCCUUGCCUGAUGGGUCUCUGCCAUAAUAAAAGGCACAAGUGCAGCUGUUUCAAAAACAUGGGGACUUUAUCUUUGUAAUAAGGAAACAGCAUUUUAGUGCUGUGGGCAGUGAUUCUAAGAAAUAAAUCAUCAGGUUUGCCGUUCCUCGAAAUCUCACAGGUAGUUAUCCCAAAUAACUUUUUGUCGUAGGUUGGAGAGUUCGUACAUUAUUUUUUCUCCUACCGAUCUUUAAAGACUCCCCCAAUGCUGUCCCGACAUCCCCAGGUUGGAAGGAGUGCUCCCAACAGCAUCCAUUAUGGGCCUCCAGUGUAUCUCUUUAUCGCCACAUUUACCAGCAUGGGCUGAAAUUGUGUAUUCACUUCUGCUCCCCUUUGCUAGACAGCAAGCUGCUUGAGGUCAAGGGUGGCUGCAUUCUUUCUUUUUUUCAAAGCUUAGAACAGUGCCUGGAGUGGAAUAGCUCAGUAGAUAUUUGAACGGAACCAAUACUUGGUUUCUUAGUGCUCACUGUUGAGAAGAACCGUCAGGAGGGACUGUAAUACUGAUGGCUCCAAAUCUACAUGAACAAGACAAACAACUUUAAAAACAAAUGAAAAAGUAAACUCUUAUCUUUUUAAGGUUUUGUGCUGAAGCACUAGUAUGCUCCUUUCCCUAGAAGCCAAACUUCAUUAAUUUUGCUGACAAAAUAAGUGCUUAAUUGAAAAUAGUAAUAGUAGGGGUGCCUGGGUGGCUCACUCGGUUCAGUAUUGGAAUCUUGGUUUCCGCUCACGUUAUCAUCUUGCAGUUCGUGAUUUUGAGUCCCGUAACCAGCUGGCUCUGGGCUGACAGUGCAGAGGCUGCUUGGGAUUCUCUCCUGCCCCCUCUCUCUGCCCCUCCCACACUUGUGGGCACCCCCGCCCCUGUGCUCUCUCUCUCAAUAAACAUAAAAAAAAAAAAAAGAUUUAAAGAAAAUAGCAAUAGCUAGAAAUGUGGAUAGUUAUCUCUCCGGUCUGUAAACAGUCAAAACAAACUUUGCAGAAAUCAGUAGGCACCCAACCUCAUAGCCUGUUUCAUUCUUUCAAGCCCUAUGUGAUUUGUUUCUUUCUUUUUUUAAUGUUUACUUAAGAGAGAGAGAGAGAGAGAGAGAGACAGAGUAUAAGCAGGGGUGGGGCAGAGAGAGAGGAAGACACAGAAUCUGAAGCAGACUCCAGGCUCUGAGCGGUCAGCGCAGAGCCCAACAAUGGGGCUCGUACUCACAAGCUGAGAGAUCAUGACCUGAGCCAAAGGUAUACAAUUUUUAUAGGAGAGAUGAGUGGGGUUGAAGAUAGUUGGCUGGCAGAAAGAUUUUUAUAGGCACUGUCUUUACAUGAAGAAGAUGUGAGUUUGCAGUGCCUGUGUUAGAUGCUAUAGCCCAAUUAAUACUGCUGGAUGGUGCUCGAGGUCUCUAGCUGCAUUGUCCUACAUCACAGCAGACUGUCCCAACCAGAGGGUUGGCUGUCCUGAUGUCAGAAUGUCUUUCUUCCUCAGAAUUAGCCUUCUAUGCAGGUGCCUGUCAGAAUUCUAAAGACAGAGAGUGGAGGCUUCACUGCCCUUCUAAGAACAGGUAGUGUGGUUCUAUUUGUGUCUGCCUGCCUGCUGAUAAAAUGUUUGUAUUUCUGGUGAAACUGGCUUAAGACUUGCUUUCAUUGAAACAUACCACAUGCUAGGGAGGGUGUUGGUGUCGGAAUGUGGUUUCCACCCCCCUCUGAUCCCUGGAGGGCCCCUGAAGGUAUUGACAGAAACUGACAGUAGCUAGGCAGUCAGGCUGCGCCUCGGGUUAAGGAGGCUGCAUGAAGUAAAGCAGUGUUUUCUGUGCUUGCCUGACACUGAGAAUUGUCUAGAACUCUCGUUAAAGUUACGGAUUUCCAGAUCCUUCCCGAGCUUUACUGAGCCAGAGCUUCGGGAUGUGUAACAAAUGCCACUGUGUGCUUAGCGCGCUUUGAGGAGCCCUGAAAUGGACAGGAGGUCUCACUGGAUUGAGAAUUGGGAGACUGCAAUGUGACUUCAUGCUGCCAUUUUCUAGUGGCAGAUUCCGAUUAAUUUAUUCAACACCUCCAGGCAUUAGUUUCCUUAAAUAGAGACUUUGACUAAAAUAACCUCUACCUUGGCAUUUUGUGAUUCUAAUGAGGGGUUACUAUUUGAUGAUACUAGUGUAAUAUCACUGAUCAGUAGUGACUUGCAAAUAUCACUGAUCGAUGAUAAUCCCUCUCUGAUUCUUAUGAUUAGGGAUUUAAACAUUUGUGUGUGUGUGUGUGUGUCUGAAAUAAACUCUUCAUGACUAUAGGGACUCUUUCUAAUCAUAUUUGACCCACAUGGAGUGCGUGGAGUUUGAUGUCUUGAGGGGUUAGGGGUCACGGCUUCCUCCUCAUCUUUAAAAAGUGCUAACAUCAUUAUGGAAGGAGAAUUGUAGUUUAAAUGCAUUUGCCAUAUGUCCGAUUUCUACAAGAGAGUUAUUUAUUUUUGUAAUUGUGAAAGGGUCCUGUUUAAGCCAAAACAUCAAUUUACUCACUGACUCUUGGGUAUAAUACAAUUACCUGGUUCAAAAAGCUACGUACGUUUAGGUUUGAAACGUGAUUCUAGCAAUAAUCUAAUUUCCCUCUAUAUAAGAGGAAAACCCAAUAUUAAAAUUUCUUCUGCAUUGAGACUAGCAAAUUUUUUUUUUAAUGAGAGAAAUAUUUGAGUUUUUUAAUAUUUUGGAAGAAAAUUCAGAAAAAAAUGAUGCAGUGCUUUCCUUGGGCUGUCAUUUUAAUGUCUUUUAAAAAAAUUAAGUUUUAGAUAUAAGAUAAAAUGGUUUAUACCUAGCUAGGCACCUAGUGAUUUUUUUUUUUUUUUUUUUUUUAUCUAAUUUCUCCUCAAAUGGGCUUUUACCCUGGGAUAGAUUAGUUCUGCAGGAUUUGAAGUUCAGAAUCAACAGGAUGGUGAUGAUGGUAAUCUUGCCUUCACAUGUUACCUUUGUGGUCGGCACUUCUCGGAAGGAGCACCGUAGCAAUGCCUUAGACAAAUGUAGCAGAAGAGAGGGAGCUUCUGUUUUUGACGAAGGGCUCUUCUGAGAAAAGGCCCUGGCGGUCCCAGCCUCAGUCCCUUUCCUUGUGGAUCAAAUGACAAGUCUGUCAAAGCAUUUGGCAUCCCUCAAGUAAAAAAUGACGUUACUAAUAUCAGUGCGGUUGUAGGAGUGCAAUCCCAACUUUUUGGUAUCGGGCUUUCUGGUGACUUUGUAUUGCCUGCUAACGCCAACAGCUACUCUAGGCCAGACUCUAAUACGGGAGUCUCCUUUUAUCUGCGGUGGGGGGACCUUCCAGGACCCCCAGUGGGGGCCUGAAACCCUGGAUGGUACCAAACCCUGUGCAUACUAUGUUUUUUUCCGACAUCGUGUUAGGCUGCCGUUGACCCUCUGAAGAUGUGUCAGAAGGAGGAUUGCCCGCUUCUGAACUGCGGCCACGGCGAGCAGCCGAACCCGUGGAGAGCGGAACCGCGGGUGAGGGGGGUCUACUGUGUGUACAACAGCUCUAGGAGGUGCAUACUGUUAUUGUGUCUGUUUGACAGGUGAUGCAGCUAAGGCACAAGUCAUUUGUUGACCCACGUCCACGGCUAGUAAGCGAGGGAGCUGGGGUUUGAACUACGGCAGGCUUGUCCCUCUUGAAAUCCUGCGGUCUGCGGUGCUGUCUCUCUUGGACUCAUGACAUUGUGCACUCAGAUGAGGAAAACCGACCCCAAGAAGAUGUGGCGAAGUCCUGGCACAUAUCUGAGGGAAUGACUGAGAAGGCCGAGUUAGCAUCUGUGUGUGCACCGAUGUGCGCCUGUUACCCCGGCCGACCCCUGUGAGGCUGCUCAGCUGGAGCCUGCAUGGUGACAGCUGCCCAAAGUAGGGGACCGCUGGUGUCGGUGAUGAACACGAAAGUACUUCUGAUCUGGCCGCGCCCGGGUGGCUCAGUUGGUUGAGCGACCGACUCUGGAUUUUAGCUCAGGUCGUGGGAUCGAGCCCCACGUCCGGCUCUGCACUCAGUGUUGGAGGCUGCUGGGGAUUCAUUCUCUCUUUCUCUCUC